CACACAUCCUCCUCCAGCAGCACCGCCGCUGGCUCUGGAUCGGCUUGUUUGGACUGGGAGCAGCUCCGGGCCGGGCCGGGCCGGGCCGGGCCGGGUCAAAGGAGCGCAGUGGGAGGACAGCCAGCUCUGGCGGCUGCUGCUCCUCUCCAAGACAACUGUUGACGGGCCAGAGAGGCCCAACUGGGCCAGAGCCGGCCACGCUCAAUAGUCCCCAUUGACCGGGAACUUCCUGGAGGCAGCGGCUCGCAGAGAAAAUAAGUGCAGAAGAACAAGAAGAUGAGAGAAAAGAAGAGGAAGAGGAGAGGGAGGAUGGGAAGAAAGGCGGAGGAGAGGGAUGUCAGGACGGACAAAGAGGACGAGGAGGAGAGGAAACGAGGUGAAGACAAAAAAAGGACAAGAUAAGGACGAGACUGAAGAAGCAAAUGGCAGGAUUUGAAAUUAAGACUUCCACCUGCUGCUGGAGAUGUAAACCCAUUAGGAUUCAUCUUUUUUGCACCAUGAACGUCUGCAGAAACUUCCAUUACAGUCCAUCCUGCAGUCAGUCUGGAACAAAAGUGGUGAACUGACAAACUGACGGAGCCGUCAGAAUUACAUAUUUGUUCAGACAGGAAGAGAAAAGAAAA